UGAUCCUGGCUCAGGAUGAACGCUAGCGGCAGGCUUAACACAUGCAAGUCGAGGGGCAGCGAGAGUAGCAAUACUUGUCGGCGACCGGCGCACGGGUGAGUAACGCGUAUGCAACCUACCCUUUAUCGGGGGAUAGCCCGAAGAAAUUCGGAUUAAUACCCCAUGGUAUUCAAUUGAGACAUCUCAGAAGAAUUAAAACUCCGGUGAUAAAGGAUGGGCAUGCGUGACAUUAGUUAGUUGGUGAGGUAACGGCUCACCAAGACGAUGAUGUCUACGGGGUCUAAAAGGAUGGUCCCGCACACUGGUACUGAGACACGGACCAGACUCCUACGGGAGGCAGCAGUGAGGAAUAUUGGUCAAUGGGGGCAACCCUGAACCAGCCAUGCCGCGUGAAGGAUGAAGGCUCUAUGAGUUGUAAACUUCUUUUGUACGGGGAGAAAACGCAUUACGUGUAGUGCACUGACUGUACCGUAUGAAUAAGCAUCGGCUAACUCCGUGCCAGCAGCCGCGGUAAUACGGAGGAUGCAAGCGUUAUCCGGAUUUAUUAGGUUUAAAGGGUGCGUAGGCUGACUGAUAAGUCAGUGGUGAAAUGCCGCAGCUUAACUGCGGAACUGCCAUUGAUACUGUUGGUCUUGUAUGUGGUUGAGGCAUGCGGAAAUGUGUAGUGUA
rnacentral:rRNA from 1 species